rnacentral:misc_RNA from 1 species
UUGGAUGUGGAGGUUUUUGCUGGCCGCCUAGAAAGGGUUCAGCUCCUCUGAAAUACAUUAGCGGAACAAACCUGUCCAUUCAUUGGUGUGAUAACUAUCUACGCUAUUGAAUGUGAGGCAGUUCAGCUUUCUAACGGUCCUUUGGACAACCUAUCAUUUUAUGUGACCUCAAAUCAGGUAGGACUACCCGCUGAACUUAA